rnacentral:misc_RNA from 1 species
GACUUUUCUUUGUUUUGGUUAAAAGGCAGAUACAUAUAUAUCAGGUGAUAAAAGCUGUACANCUGGUGCUUACUCUGUAUACAGCUUUUAUCACCUGAAACUAGGAUCUUACAUUGGAAAGGUACAAUAACAGUAAAGGUGGAGAUGAAGAUAAAAACAUCAAAAAUCCUAUGACAUUUCCAACAGUAUGUCAAUUUUUGCAUCUUCAAAACUCCAAGUCAAAGGGAAACAUAAAUAAUAUAAAACUCCUAUAAUCGUCAAAGACAAUGGACAUCAAUAGAAUCUAUGUAGUUUUUACAUUGAAAACUAUAAUAGUACCCUGCAGGCUGCAAAGCUUAGUCUAUAUCAUUCAUCCCACGAAUGCUGCCAGGUGAAAUUAGGCUUUCAGUGUAGACAAUAGCCUUCUGAUAGCGGCCAUCUCCGAGUCCUUGAAUAUGAAGGUCCUGAUAUUUGUUUCCAUCAUACAUUACAAACCACUUGCGUCUUACAGAGACCACAAGUUUACCAGUUUUGGUGAAGCAUUUUGGAUUCAAGCGAUAAUAAACUCGAUAAUUAGGCUCUUGAUUUGAGAUUUUGGGGAUGGUCAUCAUUUUUGUCCAAAUUACUCUCACCCCACCAUUUUCUUCUUUCUCUUCCUUCAUUACCCACAGCGUUUGGUCAUACUGGCGAAACACACAAAGCGAAUUCCCCCAAAGCAGCAAGUUCAAUUCAGCCACUACAAAGAAGUCCUCCUCUUCUUGAAACCAAAUAGGUCGAGAAUUGGAUGGAUCAAAAGGAGGAGGAGGAACCUCCCUAAAUGUUUCGUCCGAUAGAUUGAGACAUAAAAUUCGGUCUGCGAAUUUGUGGGACUUACUAGCAGCCCAAUAAAGACAUCCAUUUGCAGGAACCCCCUCAUAGAAAAGAGAGUAAGCUAACUCUCCAAGAUUUCUCCACAAGUUCCUUUUCACUGAAAAAACAUGAACCUGUUUUUCACACAAACUCACCACUUUAUAAUCAUCCAUGCUCGAAUCGAAGCCGAGCCCACAUACUCCCCCACAGAUACCUACCUCUUCAGUGAGGGGUAAUGUCCUAAAGUCUCCAAUAGAUGGAUUCCACAAAACAAGGGUAUCAUCAUCUUCAAUGGAUAAACAGAGCAUGCCGUGGCAGCAACCAGUCUUGAUCUCGAAAGAUUUUCCUCUGAUCAGAGGAAAAUCAGUCUCCACAGCCACACUGAAAGCAUCUUCUUGAUACCCACCACCAAAAGAAUACAAUUUAGACUCUGAUCCUUCAACUUCUGUGCGUUUAUUAUAAGAUAGAAUGAGACUGCUCUGGUUAUGGGGGCAGUGUGAAAGAGGAUCGCAGGAGAGAUGGCGAUAGAGUAGCCAGAAAGGGAAUCUAGAGUGGGUGAUAAAUUGAAGCCAAGGCUUCGAUACACACCUGAAUCUGACCAGAGAUUUCAGCGGCAAUCUGGAGAGGAUGUCCGAAACAACAUCAGAAGGAAGAUACUUGGCUGCCACCGCCAUGUCGAAUCGAUGAGAGGGAGAGGGUUUCUAAUUCUAACAGUGCUGUAGGCUUGCUUGCUCCUGGAGGCUUUGACGAAACGAAAU